UUAAGUGACUAAGCGUACACGGUGGAUGCCUAGGCAGUCAGAGGCGAUGAAGGGCGUGCUAAUCUGCGAAAAGCGUCGGUAAGGUGAUAUGAACCGUUACAACCGGCGAUACCCGAAUGGGGAAACCCAGUGUGUUUCGACACACUAUCAUGUCAUGAAUACAUAGUGGCAUGAGGCGAACCGGGGGAACUGAAACAUCUAAGUACCCCGAGGAAAAGAAAUCAACCGAGAUUCCCCCAGUAGCGGCGAGCGAACGGGGAGGAGCCCAGAACCUGAAUCGGCUUGUGUGUUAGUGGAAGCGUCUGGAAAGUCGCGCAGCAAAGGGUGAUAGCCCCGUACACUAAAAUGCACAGGUCGUGAGUUCGAUGAGUAGGGCGGGACACGUGACAUCCUGUCUGAAUAUGGGGGGACCAUCCUCCAAGGCUAAAUACUCCUGACUGACCGAUAGUGAACCAGUACCGUGAGGGAAAGGCGAAAAGAACCCCGGCGAGGGGAGUGAAAUAGAACCUGAAACCGUGUACGUACAAGCAGUGGGAGCACCUUCGUGGUGUGACUGCGUACCUUUUGUAUAAUGGGUCAGCGACUUAUAUUUUGUAGCAAGGUUAACCGUAUAGGGGAGCCGUAGGGAAACCGAGUCUUAACUGGGCGAUUAGUUGCAAGGUAUAGACCCGAAACCCGGUGAUCUAGCCAUGGGCAGGUUGAAGGUUGGGUAACACUAACUGGAGGACCGAACCGACUAAUGUUGAAAAAUUAGCGGAUGACUUGUGGCUGGGGGUGAAAGGCCAAUCAAACCGGGAGAUAGCUGGUUCUCCCCGAAAGCUAUUUAGGUAGCGCCUCGUGAACUCAUCUUCGGGGGUAGAGCACUGUUUCGGCUAGGGGGCCAUCCCGGCUUACCAAACCGAUGCAAACUCCGAAUACCGAAGAAUGUUAUCACGGGAGACACACGGCGGGUGCUAACGUCCGUCGUGAAGAGGGAAACAACCCAGACCGCCAGCUAAGGUCCCAAAGUCAUGGUUAAGUGGGAAACGAUGUGGGAAGGCACAGACAGCCAGGAUGUUGGCUUAGAAGCAGCCAUCAUUUAAAGAAAGCGUAAUAGCUCACUGGUCGAGUCGGCCUGCGCGGAAGAUGUAACGGGGCUAAACCAUGCACCGAAGCUGCGGCAGCGACGCUUAGGCGUUGUUGGGUAGGGGAGCGUUCUGUAAGCCGUUGAAGGUGGCCUGUGAGGGUUGCUGGAGGUAUCAGAAGUGCGAAUGCUGACAUAAGUAACGAUAAAGCGGGUGAAAAGCCCGCUCGCCGGAAGACCAAGGGUUCCUGUCCAACGUUAAUCGGGGCAGGGUGAGUCGACCCCUAAGGCGAGGCUGAAAAGCGUAGUCGAUGGGAAACAGGUUAAUAUUCCUGUACUUGGUGUUACUGCGAAGGGGGGACGGAGAAGGCUAGGCUGGCCGGGCGACGGUUGUCCCGGUUUAAGCGUGUAGGGGGUGUGACCUGGUAAAUCCGGUUGCAUACUAACCCUGAGGCGUGAUGACGAUGCACUACGGUGCAGAAGUAGUUGAUGCCCUGCUUCCAGGAAAAUCCUCUAAGCUCCAGGUAACAUUAAAUCGUACCCCAAACCGACACAGGUGGUCAGGUAGAGAAUACCAAGGCGCUUGAGAGAACUCGGGUGAAGGAACUAGGCAAAAUGGUGCCGUAACUUCGGGAGAAGGCACGCUGGCAUGUAGGUGAAGUCCCUUGCGGAUGGAGCUGAAGCCAGUCGAAGAUACCAGCUGGCUGCAACUGUUUAAUAAAAACACAGCACUGUGCAAACACGAAAGUGGACGUAUACGGUGUGACGCCUGCCCGGUGCUGGAAGGUUAAUUGAUGGGGUCAGCCGCAAGGCGAAGCUCUUGAUCGAAGCCCCAGUAAACGGCGGCCGUAACUAUAACGGUCCUAAGGUAGCGAAAUUCCUUGUCGGGUAAGUUCCGACCUGCACGAAUGGCGUAAUGAUGGCCAGGCUGUCUCCACCCGAGACUCAGUGAAAUUGAACUCGCUGUGAAGAUGCAGUGUACCCGCGGCAAGACGGAAAGACCCCGUGAACCUUUACUAUAGCUUGACACUGAACAUUGAGCCUUGAUGUGUAGGAUAGGUGGGAGGCUUUGAAGCGUGGACGCCAGUCUGCGUGGAGCCAUCCUUGAAAUACCACCCUUUAAUGUUUGAUGUUCUAACUCNGGGGUGAGGACAGUGUCUGGUGGGUAGUUUGACUGGGGCGGUCUCCUCCCAAAGAGUAACGGAGGAGCACGAAGGUUAGCUAAUCACGGUCGGACAUCGUGAGGUUAGUGCAAAGGCAUAAGCUAGCUUGACUGCGAGAGUGACGGCUCGAGCAGGUACGAAAGUAGGUCUUAGUGAUCCGGUGGUUCUGAAUGGAAGGGCCAUCGCUCAACGGAUAAAAGGUACUCCGGGGAUAACAGGCUGAUACCGCCCAAGAGUUCAUAUCGACGGCGGUGUUUGGCACCUCGAUGUCGGCUCAUCACAUCCUGGGGCUGAAGUAGGUCCCAAGGGUAUGGCUGUUCGCCAUUUAAAGUGGUACGCGAGCUGGGUUUAGAACGUCGUGAGACAGUUCGGUCCCUAUCUGCCGUGGGCGUUGGAAGAUUGAGAGGGGUUGCUCCUAGUACGAGAGGACCGGAGUGAACGCACCACUGGUGUUCGGGUUGUCAUGCCAAUGGCAUUGCCCGGUAGCUAAGUGCGGAAAAGAUAAGCGCUGAAAGCAUCUAAGCGCGAAACUUGCCUCAAGAUGAGUCUUCCCU
rnacentral:rRNA from 1 species